GGGUUGUGAGGUUAAGCGACUAAGCGUACACGGUUGAUGCCCUGGCAGUCAGAGGCGAUGAAGGACGUGCUAAUCUGCGAUAAGCGUCGGUAAGGUGAUAUGAACCGUUAUAAC
rnacentral:rRNA from 1 species